AUUUGUACAGUAUUACUCUUAAUUUAUUUAUUAAAUACUUUAUAUGUAGAUCCCAUUUCAUGUGGGGGUCUAUAAUAAUCCCUAAAUAUUUCAUUUUCUUUUCAGGUGCAAUGGACAUUGAUUGUGUAAUACAUAAGUGGUUAAAUUGAGGAGCACCCGAAGAAUAGCAACUAAAUGAAAUUAGCAGUGCGCUUGUUAUCCAAGGAGCGAUUUUAUCACGUUUCCUUCUUAGCUGUUUUUUCUCACUACACGCUUCCAGGUUAUGUUUCAAGAUUCUCAUAAAUGUAUUCGUCGCAACUUCUGGGUCCUGUAAAGAAUAUAUUGAAUCCCAUUUAGUAUUUUGAAAUGUAUAAGUUAACUUUGUUGUAUUAAUAAUAUUUCUGAAUUUU